UACGUAGGGUCCGAGCGUUGUCCGGAGUUACUGGGCGUAAAGCGCGCGCAGGCGGCGGUGUUGGCCCGGCGUGAAAGCCCCCGGCUCAACCGGGGAGAGUCGUCGGGGACCGCACCGCUUGAGGGCGGUAGGGGCUGGUGGAAUGCCUGGUGUAGUGGUGAAAUGCGUAGAGAUCAGGCAGAACACCUGGGGCGAAGGCGGCCAGCUGGGCCGUCCCUGACGCUGAGGCGCGAAGGCGUGGGGAGCAAACGGG
rnacentral:rRNA from 1 species